GACGAACGCUGGCGGCGUGCUUAACACAUGCAAGUCGAGCGGUAAGGCCCUUUCGGGGGUACGACGAGCGGCGAACGGGUAGGAGUAACAACGUGGGUGGACCUCGCCCUCCAGCUCUGGGAGUAAAGCCUGGGAAACCGGGAAGCUAAUACCGGAUACUCUCGGCCGAUCACAUGGCUGGCCGAGGAAAGGUACCGCCGGUCGAGGGAGUGGGCCCGGCCGGCCUAUCAGCUUGUUGGUGGGGUAACGGCCACCAAGGCGACGACGGGUAGCUGGUCUGAGAGGACGACCAGCCACACUGGAACUGAGAUACGGUCCAGACUCCUACGGGAGGCAGCAGUGGGGAA
rnacentral:rRNA from 1 species